rnacentral:rRNA from 1 species
UACGGAGGGGCUAGCGUUGUUCGGAAUUACUGGGCGUAAAGCGCACGUAGGCGGCUUUGUAAGUUAGAGGUGAAAGCCCGGGGCUCAACUCCGGAAUUGCCUUUAAGACUGCAUCGCUAGAAUUGUGGAGAGGUAAGUGGAAUUCCGAGUGUAGAGGUGAAAUUCGUAGAUAGUUGGAAGAACACCGAGUGCGAAGGCGACUUACUGGACACAUAUUGACGCUGAGGUGCGAAAGCGUGGGAGCAACAGG